GCCUAACACAUGCAAGUCGAGCGGUAGCACAGAGAGCUUGCUCUCGGGUGACGAGCGGCGGACGGGUGAGUAAUGUCUGGGAAACUGCCUGAUGGAGGGGGAUAACUACUGGAAACGGUAGCUAAUACCGCAUAACGUCGCAAGACCAAAGUGGGGGACCUUCGGGCCUCAUGCCAUCAGAUGUGCCCAGAUGGGAUUAGCUGGUAGGUGGGGUAACGGCUCACCUAGGCGACGAUCCCUAGCUGGUCUGAGAGGAUGACCAGCCACACUGGAACUGAGACACGGUCCAGACUCCUACGGGAGGCAGCAGUGGGGAAUAUUGCACAAUGGGCGCAAGCCUGAUGCAGCCAUGCCGCGUGUGUGAAGAAGGCCUUCGGGUUGUAAAGCACUUUCAGCGGGGAGGAAGGCGUUAAGGUUAAUAACCUUGUCGAUUGACGUUACCCGCAGAAGAAGCACCGGCUAACUCCGUGCCAGCAGCCGCGGUAAUACGGAGGGUGCAAGCGUUAAUCGGAAUUACUGGGCGUAAAGCGCACGCAGGCGGUCUGUCAAGUCGGAUGUGAAAUCCCCGGGCUCAACCUGGGAACUGCAUUCGAAACUGGCAGGCUAGAGUCUUGUAGAGGGGGGUAGAAUUCCAGGUGUAGCGGUGAAAUGCGUAGAGAUCUGGAGGAAUACCGGUGGCGAAGGCGGCCCCCUGGACAAAGACUGACGCUCAGGUGCGAAAGCGUGGGGAGCAAACAGGAUUAGAUACCCUGGUAGUCCACGCUGUAAACGAUGUCGAUUUGGAGGUUGUGCCCUUGAGGCGUGGCUUCCGGAGCUAACGCGUUAAAUCGACCGCCUGGGGAGUACGGCCGCAAGGUUAAAACUCAAAUGAAUUGACGGGGGCCCGCACAAGCGGUGGAGCAUGUGGUUUAAUUCGAUGCAACGCGAAGAACCUUACCUGGUCUUGACAUCCACAGAACUUUCCAGAGAUGGAUUGGUGCCUUCGGGAACUGUGAGACAGGUGCUGCAUGGCUGUCGUCAGCUCGUGUUGUGAAAUGUUGGGUUAAGUCCCGCAACGAGCGCAACCCUUAUCCUUUGUUGCCAGCGGUUAGGCCGGGAACUCAAAGGAGACUGCCAGUGAUAAACUGGAGGAAGGUGGGGAUGACGUCAAGUCAUCAUGGCCCUUACGACCAGGGCUACACACGUGCUACAAUGGCAUAUACAAAGAGAAGCGACCUCGCGAGAGCAAGCGGACCUCAUAAAGUAUGUCGUAGUCCGGAUUGGAGUCUGCAACUCGACUCCAUGAAGUCGGAAUCGCUAGUAAUCGUAGAUCAGAAUGCUACGGUGAAUACGUUCCCGGGCCUUGUACACACCGCCCGUCACACCAUGGGAGUGGGUUGCAAAAGAAGUAGGUAGCUUAACCUUCGGGAGGGCGCUUACCACU
rnacentral:rRNA from 1 species